UAAUACGGAGGGUGCAAGCGUUGUCCGGAUUUAUUGGGUUUAAAGGGUGCGUAGGCGGCCCGUUAAGUCAGUGGUGAAAGCCUCCAGCUCAACUGGAGAACUGCCAUUGAUACUGACGGGCUUGAGUACAGACGAGGUUGGCGGAAUUGAUAGUGUAGCGGUGAAAUGCAUAGAUACUAUCAAGAACUCCGAUUGCGUAGGCAGCUAACUAGGCUGUAACUGACGCUGAGGCACGAAAGCGUGGGGAGCGAACAGGAUUAGAUACCCUGGUAGUCCACGCCGUAAACGAUGAUUACUCGAUGUCGGCGAUAAACUGUCGGCGUCUUAGCGAAAGCGUUAAGUAAUCCACCUGGGGAGUACGCCCGCAAGGGU
rnacentral:rRNA from 1 species